CGGGUUGUAAAGUACUUUCUAGCAGUGAGGAAGGUGGGUAUGUUAAUAGCAUAUUCAUUUUGACGUUAGCUGCAGAAGAAGCACCGGCUAACUCCGUGCCAGCAGCCGCGGUAAUACGGAGGGUGCGAGCGUUAAUCGGAAUUACUGGGCGUAAAGCGCAUGCAGGUGGUUUGUUAAGUCAGAUGUGAAAGCCCGGGGCUCAACCUCGGAAUUGCAUUUUGAAACUGGCAAACUAGAGUACUGUAGAGGGGGUAGAAUUUCAGGUGUAGCGGUGAAAUGCGUAGAGAUCUGAAGGAAUACCGGUGGCGAAGGCGGCCCCCUGGACAGAUACUGACACUCAGAUGCGAAAGCGUGGGGAGCAAACAGGAUUAGAUACCCUGGUAG
rnacentral:rRNA from 1 species